GGCCAUAUUUUUCAUAUUGAAAUUUAUAACCAAACUUUUAUACAAACCACAAACCAUUUCAUAACUAUUCACAUCAAAACGGAGAUCACAAAAGAAGACAGAAACUUAGAUGAACUAGGCCGUACUCAAGGCCCCUCUCAGAAUUGUCUUCUUCUUCCAAAAAUCCUUUUCUUCAGAUCUCACCUCCGAGUUCUCCUUCUCGGAUUCCUCCUCCUCAGCUCUUCAGCGGGGUCCUGAAAUGGUUUCCCCAAACUGGGAUGAGACUACGUCUCAGGGAGUUCUACCCCACUAAGCCCGAUUAGUAAACUAUUAUACUAAAGGCUGCCUAAACACGCACAGGGCAGAGGACUUACCUUGGCCUCUGAUCCUACCUGCAAGUCAGUACAAUUCACAAUGAACACCCAUUCACUUCAAACAAAUCGAACCAGUCGAUUACAUGUCAUACAAAACAAUCCCCGCUGUGGGAUAUUUAAAAGCUAGGCCACGUGUAUUCUCCAGGACGACCUUCCAAGUCUCCGAGUCACGUGCCUCGAACCUUGGGCCCACGUGCAUUCUCUAAGGCGACCUCUUCGCCAAGGUGAUACAUCAAGUCACCGAGCCACGUGCCCUUUUAGAUGCCUGCACUUAGUCACAGAGCUCCAUCAAUGCUCUCGGGCGUCGAUUCGCCAAGGUGACGUACAGUGAACACUUUACUAUGCUCUCGGGCGUCUUUUUCGCCAAGGUGAUACAUUGAUCACAGAGCCAACGUAAACAAUUCAAUAUGCUCUCGGGCGUCUUUUUCGCCAAGGUGAUACACUGAUCACAGAGCCAACGUAAACAAUUCAAUAUGCUCUCGGGCGUCUUUUUCGCCAAGGUGAUACACUGAUCACAGAGCCAACGUAAACAAUUCAAUAUGCUCUCGGGCGUCUUUUUCGCCAAGGUGAUACACUGAUCACAGAGCCAACAUAAACAAUUCAAUAUGCUCUCGGGCGUCUUUUUCGCCAAGGUGAUACACUAAUCACAGAGCCAACAUAAACAAUUCAAUAUAAUCAACCACUAAACUCACGUGCAUUUUCCAGGUGAUAUUCCAAUUCACCGAGCCCACGCGCUUCCUUUCAGGUGAUAACCAAUACCCAACGAUUUCUCAAUCAAUUAAUUAAAUUAACUCAACAAAGCAUUAUAAAUGCUAAAUAACACACUUGGCCAAUUCAAUCUCAAUCAAUUCCAAUCAAAUUAGGGUAAAUCCCUAAAAUGUCACAAUUUAUUCAAUUCCAUACAACGUGGAGCUCAAAUAAAUAAACGGGCUGCGCCACGACGAUCAGCACGAGAUUUCGGUCGUCAGCCAUCAAAAUCUUAAUUUCCGAAAAAUAAUUAAUUAAUUUAUUAAUUUCGAAAAUUAAAUAAUUAUUAUUAAAAAUUCAAUUUAGCUCAAAAUAAAGCCCGAUUACAUAAACGGACUUCACCACGGUCAUCAGCACAAUAUUCCGGUCUCGGACCAUCUCAGUUGAAUUUUCGGAAAAUAAAUAAUUAUUUAAUUUAAUUCCGAAAAUUAAUAAUUAAAUACAAAAAUAUCCACUUAGGCCCGAAAAGCCUAAUUGGAGCCCACUAAGGGUCGGGAAAAAUCCCGAGGCACUUCCAAUAAUUAGUCGACCACGUCUACUUGCUAAUUACACAAUCAAUUUAUCUAAAUCGCAUCACAAUUGACUAAUAAUUGCUAAUUUAUUCUAAUCUAACAACCUAAACAUAAUUAAUUAAAUCUAAACCAACCUUAAGCAUAAUUAGCCAACUAAUCCAAGAUUAGUGAGAUUACUCACCAAAUCGCGCGCAAAUCGGAUCAAUCCGACGGCGGCGACGCGAGGAACGAUUGUUCCCAAAGCACGGCUCGGGUUCGGGGCCGGGAAACGGCCCAAAAGCAGGCCCGAAGAUGCUGAAACCCACUCCGUCGGUCUGCUGGACGGAGCCGAUCUGGGCUGCUCCGGCGGCUAGGGCGGCGAGGGGAAGCCGGCGGAGGGCGAGGGGGUUGCGGGAGAGGUCCGGCGGGGCUGGGCGGUGGCCGGAGGUGGCCG
rnacentral:lncRNA from 1 species